UAAACCACUAAUACCUCAUUUAAAUUACAAAUUGUACAUUUAACCUUGUUAUAUACCCUUCUCUAAACGGUGCAAAGACUUGCAGUUGCAGCAACUAUCGUCUUCUCUACAAACGAAUCUGGUAUAUACUCUUUCUUCAAGUGGGCAGUGGGCAAAAGGAAAUGCAAAAUCACAUCAGCUUUGAAAUAUUUGGGUUGGGAGUCAAGUGAUUGAGAAGACUCUUUACAUAGAUGCUGGACAUUACAGAAUAAUCUACAAAUUCAAAUUCAAGUUCCUUGGAUGUGAAAGACUUGGCUGAUUGCAAACCUUAAACAAGUUUAAAAAAGCCAAAAGCCUAGCUAUUAUCAUAAAACAAGGAUCAUGGUUGGAUUUAAGAAUCGGUACAUGGUGGUGGAGGUGAACUUGAAUCCUAAUAGAGAUUUAGGGACAGAUGAUCCCAUAAUAAUAACCCCAUAUAAUGUGACCAAAGCAAUUAAAGACAACAUUCUCAUCAACUUUGGCGAGUGUGGUCUUGCUUCUUCUGUAGGAUCUCUCCAAGUUAAAUAUGUGAAUCAUAUCACGAAGAUAUGUAUCAUUCGAGCCUCAAGAGAGGAAUACCAAAAAGUUUGGUCUGCAAUCACCAUGGUAAGGAGUAUCGGAAAUGUGCCAGUUGUAAUUAACUUAUUGGACCUGACUGGAAGCAUUAAGGCAUGUAAAAAUGCUGCACUGAAGUGUGAAGAAUCAAAAUUUGAGCAGUACAAGCUUGUGGUUGGUGCUUUUCUAUCACCUGUUGUUAGCAAGCAGAUGCAAGACUUUCUUGAGAAAAUCAAAAUGUUGGAGCAUUAAAAGUAGUUCAUCUUGGCUUUGGCGAGAUGCAAUACUAGUUCAUCUAGCUAUGUGCCUUUGAUUUCUAGUAGUUUUGCAUCUCUAAUUGCAUAAUGAUCAUUAGUCUUAAUCACCACCAAACGUUGGUUUACUUCUAAGAUGUCGUUGUUACACACUUACGAUUAUUACACACAAGCAUGACUAACAUGUCUUUUUUACGUUGUACCUCAAAAGUCAUGGACUUCUUGGGAUCACUUCGUGUCAAUGUUGUCUGAGGCUUGUAAGUUUUAACAUCUAGUUGAUAUAGUCAAGUAUGCAAUUACAUGUUAAUAGAUCUAAAUUGACAGCAUUGCAAGGAAUCGACUCUCCACAAAGUUUUAAGUCGAGUCGUCAUGCCUCAUGGUUCUGCUUUCGUGAGAUGCGAGGAAUAGACUUCUCAUGGGGACUUACCUAACAAUGUGGAUUUUCUAUUAUAGAGUUCAAUGACAGGGGCUCAGUCGAUACGUGGCAAGAUAUUUGCGCCAGAUGGCAUCUUGAUGGUCGAAUAUGUGCCGACCAGAAACAAUGUGAGGAGUCAGAAAGAAAGCCACCGGCCAGAUGCUGGAUUGGUUGCCUCUGGUCAGGAAGGUGCCGACUAGGAGGUUUAGUAAACUUUUGAAAGGAAUCGACCAACUAGAAGGUUUCCUAGCAGUGUUUCAAGAGCUUUAGAGGGAUACGCCGUUCGGAUACAUCCUCCACCAGAAGGCUCCGUAACUACCAGAGGAAGACUUCCCAAAUAUCCC